AACGCUAGCUACAGGCUUAACACAUGCAAGUCGAGGGGCAGCAUGAACUUAGCUUGCUAAGUUUGAUGGCGACCGGCGCACGGGUGAGUAACACGUAUCCAACCUGCCGAUGACUCGGGGAUAGCCUUUCGAAAGAAAGAUUAAUACCCGAUGGCAUAGUUCUUCCGCAUGGUAGAACUAUUAAAGAAUUUCGGUCAUCGAUGGGGAUGCGUUCCAUUAGGUUGUUGGCGGGGUAACGGCCCACCAAGCCUUCGAUGGAUAGGGGUUCUGAGAGGAAGGUCCCCCACAUUGGAACUGAGACACGGUCCAAACUCCUACGGGAGGCAGCAGUGAGGAAUAUUGGUCAAUGGACGAGAGUCUGAACCAGCCAAGUAGCGUGAAGGAUGACUGCCCUAUGGGUUGUAAACUUCUUUUAUACGGGAAUAAAGUGAGGCACGUGUGCCUUUUUGUAUGUACCGUAUGAAUAAGGAUCGGCUAACUCCGUGCCAGCAGCCGCGGUAAUACGGAGGAUCCGAGCGUUAUCCGGAUUUAUUGGGUUUAAAGGGAGCGUAGGCGGACGCUUAAGUCAGUUGUGAAAGUUUGCGGCUCAACCGUAAAAUUGCAGUUGAUACUGGCGACCUUGAGUGCAACAGAGGUAGGCGGAAUUCGUGGUGUAGCGGUGAAAUGCUUAGAUAUCACGAAGAACUCCGAUUG
rnacentral:rRNA from 1 species